GUUAGAAAUGCAAAUUCUUAGGCCCGCCCAGACCUACUGUAUCAGAAACCUCGGGGGUGGAGUCCAGCAAUCUGUAUUUUAAC
rnacentral:miRNA from 1 species